rnacentral:rRNA from 1 species
AGAGCGAACGCUGGCGGCAGGCCUAACACAUGCAAGUCGAACGGAUCCUUCGGGAUUAGUGGCGGACGGGUGAGUAACACGUGGGAACGUGCCCUUUGGUUCGGAACAACUCAGGGAAACUUGAGCUAAUACCGGAUAAGCCUUUCGAGGGAAAGAUUUAUCGCCAUUGGAGCGGCCCGCGUAGGAUUAGCUAGUUGGUGAGGUAAAAGCUCA